rnacentral:rRNA from 1 species
GAUGACUUUGCGUCCCAUUAGCUUGUUGGCGGUGUAACGGACCACCAAGGCGACGAUGGGUAUCCGGCCUGAGAGGGUGUACGGACACAUUGGGACUGAGAUACGGCCCAGACUCCUACGGGAGGCAGCAGUAGGGAAUUUUGCGCAAUGGGGGAAACCCUGACGCAGCAACGCCAUGUGUGGGAUGAAGCAUUUCGGUGUGUAAACCACUGCCAGCAGGGAAUAAAAGGCCUUAUAGGCAUUUGAAUGUACCUGCGAAGGAAGCCCCGGCUAACUUCGUGCCAGCAGCCGCGGUAAUACGAGGGGGGCAAAUGUUGUUCGGAAUCACUGGGCGUAAAGGGAGCGUAGGCGGGUUCUUAAGUAAGGUGUUUAAUCCCGGGGCCCAACCCCGGACCGGCACUUUAAACUGGGAAUCUUGAAUAGUGGAGAGGUCAGUGGAAUUGGGGGUGUAGCGGUGGAAUGCGUAGAGAUCCCCAAG